rnacentral:rRNA from 1 species
ACUGGGACUGAGACACGGCCCAGACUCCUACGGGAGGCAGCAGUGGGGAAUUUUGGACAAUGGGGGCAACCCUGAUCCAGCCAUGCCGCGUGUCUGAAGAAGGCCUUCGGGUUGUAAAGGACUUUUGUCAGGGAGGAAAUCCCUAAGGCUAAUACCCUUGGGGGAUGACAGUACCUGAAGAAUAAGCACCGGCUAACUACGUGCCAGCAGCCGCGGUAAUACGUAGGGUGCAAGCGUUAAUCGGAAUUACUGGGCGUAAAGCGUGCGCAGGCGGUUUGAAAAGUCAGCUGUGAAAGC